GAUGAAGAACGUAGCGAAAUGCGAUAAGUAAUGUGAAUUGCAGAAUUCAGUGAAUCAUCGAAUCUUUGAACGCACAUUGCGCCCGCCAGUAUUCUGGCGGGCAUGCCUGUUCGAGCGUCAUUUCAACCAUCAAGCCCUGCUUGCGUUGGGGUCCUGCGGCUGCCCGCAGGCCCUGAAAACCAGUGGCGGGCUCGCUAGUCACACCGAGCGCAGUAAUACAUCUCGCUUUGGGCGUGCGGCGGGUUCUUGCCGUUAAACACCCCCUUCUUACCAAGAUUGACCUCGGAUCAGGUAGGAAUACCCGCUGAACUUAAGCAUAUCAAUAAGCGGAGGA
rnacentral:misc_RNA from 1 species